CCUUCGGGUGAGUAAAGUGGCGCACGGGUGAGUAAUAGUUGAGAACAUGCCCUGAGGUGGGGAAUAACAGUUGGAAACGACUGCUAAUACCGCAUGGUUUCGCAAGAAUAAAGGUGGGGAUCGCAAGACCUACCGCCACAGGAUUGGCUCAACUCCCAUUAGCUAGUUGGCAGGGUAAUGGCCUACCAAGGCAGCGAUGGGUAACUGGUCUGAGAGGAUGAUCAGUCACACUGGAACUGAGACACGGUCCAGACUCCUACGGGAGGCAGCAGUAGGGAAUAUUGCACAAUGGAGGAAACUCUGAUGCAGCAACGCCGCGUGAGUGAAGAAGGCCCUUGGGUUGUAAAGCUCUUUAGCCUGGAAAGAAGUGCUCGUAAGUAAACAAUUUGCGAGUGUGACAGUACCAGGAGAAUAAGCACCGGCUAAUUUCGUGCCAGCAGCCGCGGUAAUACGAAAGGUGCAAGCGUUACUCGGAAUUACUGGGCGUAAAGCGCGCGUAGGUGGUCUUGUAUGUCGAUUGUGAAAGCCCAGGGCUCAACCUUGGAAUAGCAGCCGAAACUGCAAGACUUGAAUGUUGGAGAGGGUGGGGGAAUACCUAGUGGAGAAGUGAAAUUCGUAGAGAUUAGGUGGAACACCAGAGGCGAAGGCGCCUACCUGGCCAAACAUUGACGCUGAGGCGCGAAAGUGCGGGGAGCAAACAGGAUUAGAUACCCUGGUAGUCCGCACCGUAAACGAUGGACACUAGCCGUUCGAAGCAUUAACCCUUUGAGUGGCGAAGCUAACGCAUUAAGUGUCCCGCCUGGGAAGUACGGUCGCAAGACUAAAACUCAAAGGAAUUGACGG
rnacentral:rRNA from 1 species